rnacentral:lncRNA from 1 species
UGACUUGGCUGAGUGAGAAAUUCACGGGAAAGUGGGCUAAGGAGCGAGAAAAAUGGGUGUGUGGAUCACUUCUGUUGACAAAUUCAUUGCACUGUUUUGGCCUUGUGACGGUCGUGGUGGGCCUGUGACGUUCGUGACACCCAGGGCGUGAUGGUCGUGACAUGGUUUGUGACAGUCGUCACAUGCACAGGAUUUGUAUUUUCUGCUUUUCUGUUGUUUUCUCUUCUGUUUCUUCUUCUUUUCCUUCUUU